rnacentral:rRNA from 1 species
UACGGAGGGGGCUAGCGUUGUUCGGAAUUACUGGGCGUAAAGCGCGCGUAGGCGGCUUUGUAAGUUAGAGGUGAAAGCCCGGAGCUUAACUCCGGAACUGCCUUUAAGACUGCAUCGCUAGAAUCGUGGAGAGGUGAGUGGAAUUCCGAGUGUAGAGGUGAAAUGCGUAGAUAUCUGGAGGAACACCGGUGGCGAAGGCGGCAUCCUGGACCGGUAUUGACGCUGAGGCGCGAAAGCUAGGGGAGCAAACGGG